GGGACUUCCAGCCCGGUGCAGGUGUCAGGGUGCUGGAAGAUACAUUAACAUUAAAAAGGAGACCUUUACAAAGUAGUGAAGAGUUUCCCCAUCUCCACUCAGCACAGUGGAUGCAGGAACAAUCCUGAUUUAAAGAUGAGAGGCUGGUUCUUUCAGAGCAGAGAGAUCAGACAUAGUAGUGUGGAAAGCAGCCCUGGAGUAGCAAGUACGGCAAGUUCAGACAGGACCACAGUGCCUAUGUGGGAUACUUCAGUAUAUUUCCCAGCUCAGUGGAAACAGGAGCACACAGGCAGCUCUGUGCUUCUAAGUCUCAAAUGACAAGAUAUUGGAUAAUCUGGACUUCAGCAGAGCUUUUUUCACUGCCAUACUGUACA